GUCCACGCCCGUAAACGAUGGGCACUAGAUGCUUGGGGGGAGGCGACCCCCCUGAGUGUCGUCGCUAACGCAGUAAGUGCCCCGCCUGGGGAGUACGGGCCGCAAGGCUGAAACUCAAAAGGAAUUGACGGGGGCCCGCGACAAGCGGUGGAGCAUGUGGUUUAAUUCGACGCAACGCGAAGAACCUUACCUAGGCCUUGACAUAGCCGAGAAAGCCUCCAGAAAGGGAGGCCCCCUCUUCGGAGUUCGGUUACAGGUGCUGCAUGGCUGUCGU
rnacentral:rRNA from 1 species